rnacentral:pre_miRNA from 7 species
UGCUAGGUAAUGGGGGUGUUUGAAAGACCCCAGUGGGGAGACCCCCACUCAAGUCCUGAGACAGCGUGCGCACCCAAGGAAUCACGAGAAACC